GUACGUGCGUUGGGGUCGAGCUAGGGCAGGAGGAAACAAGGGUCUUCCUUGUUCUUGCAAAAACUCAUCAAUUGGCAAGGAGAAACCAAGAUUUGUCUAUUGCAUGUUCUAAAAAUCCAGCCAUCUAAGCAUAUCUAGUAGAUUGGCGUGAAGGAAGAAGGCUCAAGUGCUAAGAAAACGGAAGGUUCACAAGAUCGAGGUAAAUCCUCGACUUAGACGUUUGGACGGCUUGGAACGUGCACACUUGGAUUACGCCCGCCUCACGCUUCCGUUAUUAAGUCUUUUAAAAUGGGUUAAGUUUUGGUCAUAUGUAACUAGGUUUAUGUAGUAUGUUAAUAACUUCGUUGUUGGGUAAAAACUUGGUAGUCGAAGUCAUGUCGUGUUCUAUGUAGUCUUUUGUUUUUAGAAGUUUCGUCAUAACUAUUAAACUUGGAAGUUUGGUUUGUAAAACAGGUUGUUGUGGUUUGAAACGAAUAGGUCAUGACGAAAUUUUCAAAAAUUUUCUUAA